UUCUCACUAAAAUUUUACAUUAUUAGCUUGUGAUGAUGAGAGAGCCAAAGGUUUCUCCACUAUUAUCUCUACCUACUUUCUAGACUUGCAAUUAUUUGUAAAGAAAGUAUCUACAAGUUCCAGUUGUCUUAUUGCUCUUUCUAAAAAUUCUUGUUUUUUCAUCCUAUGCCUCUGGAAUAACUGAAUGGUGAAAUAAAUAACUUUUUAGUUCAGAAGAAGGCAAAUAUCAAGUGUCAAACCUUAAAGAUGUUUGAGGGCAAGUAAUGCUCUUCUUUUAGCUCCUUACUUUGAUAUUUUCGAAUAUCCAUUUCUUUUAUUUCUUUGUUGCAAUUUCCUUCUUUAAUUUUCAUGUUGAAUUGAAUUAAGUUUAAUUGUAGCUAUACUUGGAUAAUUCAUAUUACACUUUUCUCAUAAAUUUCAUACAAUGGUCCUUAAUAUUCCUUU